GAUCACAGCCCACAGGUUGGGAACAGCUGUUUUAGAGGAAAAGCAUUGAGAUGGCAUGUAAUAAAGAGCUCGGAAGUCCCUGCUAACAAACAAAUGGAAGGAAACAGAACCAUCGGGCCGUGGGAGACCUUUCAAUCUGUGUAGCCAGCCAGGGUCCUCACUGUGUGGUUGAACACCGAGUCUCAUGGUGGAUCAAAUCUAGUACUAUGCCUGCGGCCAUGCUCCCAGCCAUGAAGGUCGUGGACUCACCCUCUGAAACUUGCAGUAAGCCCCCAAUUAGAUGCUUCCUUUUACAAGUUGCACUGGUCAUGGUGUUUUGUUGCAGCAAUGGAAGAAUAACAAACAUACCGUCUCACUGACAUUUUUAUUGCUAUAGCUGACCGAGAGGCUGUGGGUGGGA
rnacentral:sRNA from 1 species